AUGCAAGGCUUUGUUGCUUGGAACCUGACUCGUACGAACACCUUCUCUGUGCGUUCAGCAUAUUAUGCAGAAUGGGAGGGCCAAUAUGGCCAAAGGUUAAACAUAGGCCAUCAAGCAUUUGGUAUCAAUCCACAUCCAAUUUGGGAUAAAAUUUGGGGUCUCAAAGUGCCCGCAAAGGUUAAAAUCUUUCUUUGGAGAGCUAUGCAUAAUACUAUUCCUUUUCGGGUUGCCCUGGCGAACCGCCAUAUCAAAGUGAGCGGGCAGUGCCCAGUAUGUAAGUUUGGAGCAGAAGACAUUAAGCAUCUCUUGUUCAAGUGUAGCCGAGCAAAGCACGUAUGGGAAGCACUAGGCAUUCAUGACUUAAUUGAGAGACUUUGUCUUGUUCAUCGUCCAGGACAGUCUGUUCUAGAGGAAUUGUUGUACUCAAGCUUUGAUCAGUCACUGGUUUUGGGACAGGCCCCAUUGCCAGAGCUUGUUGCGGUGGCCUGCUGGUAUCUAUGAUGGGAGAGGAGGCAAAUUAGCCGUGAUAUUCACGUGCAGUCCCCAGAAAGAUCUGCGAUGGCAAUCAAAGUGUUAUCCUCAAAUUUCAGGUCUGCUGAAGUCCCUCAUGCAAGGUUGAGAAAGGAUAAAUGGGCUCCACCAACUGGUGAUUGUGUUAAGAUAAACGUUGAUGCUUCUUUCGAUCCAGAUAUGUUAAGGGGAACUACAGGUGUAGUCAUUCGUGAUAAAAAAGGGAAGUUCAUCGCCGCGUAUAAUGCACGUUUGGAUAUUGUUCAAGAUGUUCUUUCGGCUGAGGCUCUCGCUCUCAAGCAUGGUUUGUCCUUAGCUGAAUCCAUGGGUUGUAAUAGAGUUGUUAUGAGUUCUGAUAAUAGUGAAUUAAUAGAAAUUAUGAUGAAUGAGAGGCCUCCUACAGGUAUUGCUGCAACGAUUCUUCAUGAUUGUUUUUCUAUGGAGCCAGAAUUGUUAGGGUCAAGUAUGAGCAUGCGAAUAGGAAACGAAUUCUGUAGCUCAUGA
rnacentral:rRNA from 1 species